UGACGGUAUCUCCUUAGCAAGCACCGGCUAACUCUGUGCCAGCAGCCGCGGUAAGACAGAGGGUGCAAACGUUGUUCGGAAUUACUGGGCGUAAAGCGAGUGUAGGCGGUUUGGUAAGUCGGAUGUGAAAGCCCCGGGCUCAACCCGGGAAGUGCACUCGAUACUGCCAAGCUAGAGUAUCGGAGAGGUUGGUGGAAUUCUCGGUGUAGAGGUGAAAUUCGUAGAUAUCGAGAGGAACACCGGUGGCGAAGGCGGCCAACUGGACGAACACUGACGCUGAGACUCGAAAGCGUGGGGAGCAAACAGGAUUAGAUACCCUGGUAGUCCACGCCGUAAACGAUGGGUGCUAGGUGUCGCGGGCUUUGACUCCUGCGGUGCCGUAGCUAACGCAUUAAGCACCCCGCCUGGGAAGUACGGCCGCAAGGCUAAAACUCAAAGGAAUUGACGG
rnacentral:rRNA from 1 species